rnacentral:rRNA from 1 species
UACGAAGGGGGCUAGCGUUGUUCGGAAUUACUGGGCGUAAAGGGCGCGUAGGCGGUGUGUCAAGUCAGGCGUGAAAGCCCCGGGCUCAACCUGGGAACAGCGCUUGAGACUGGCACGCUCGAGUUCGGGAGAGGAUGGUGGAAUUCCCAGUGUAGAGGUGAAAUUCGUAGAUAUUGGGAAGAACACCGGAUGGCGAAGGCAGCCAUCUGGACCGACACUGACGCUGAGGCGCGAAAAGCGUGGGGAGCAAACAGGG